rnacentral:rRNA from 1 species
GCGGAGGAAAAGAAAAUAACAAUGAUUUCCCUAGUAACGGCGAGUGAAGAGGAAAGAGCUCAAAGUUGGAACCUGUUUGGCUUAGCUAAACCGGAUUGUAAACUGUAGAAGUGUUUUCCAGACACGCCUGGUAAAAAAGUCCUUUGGAACAGGGCAUCAUAGAGGGUGAGAAUCCCGUCUUUGGCCAGAGCUGUUGUCUUUUGUGAUACAUUUUCAAAGAGUCAGGUUGUUUGGGAAUGCAGCCUAAAUUGGGUGGUAAAUCUCACCUAAAGCUAAAUAUUUGCGAGAGACCGAUAGCGAACAAGUACCGUGAGGGAAAGAUGAAAAGAACUUUGAAAAGAGAGUUAAACAGUAUGUGAAAUUGUUAAAAGGGAACCGUUUGGAGCCAGACUGGCUUGACUGUAAUCAAUCUAGGCUUCGGCCUGGAUGCACUUGCGGUUUAUGCCUGCCAACGACAAUUUUUUUUGAGGGAAAAAACUAUUAGGAAUGUGGCCCCCUUUCGGGGGGGUGUUAUAGCCUUUUAGAAAAUACCUUGAAUUGGAUUGAGGAACGCAGUGAAUGCCUUUAGGCAAGAUUGCUGGGCGCUUUCGCUAAUAAAUGCUAGAAUUUCUGCUUCGGGUGGUGCUAGUGUUUAAAGGAGAAACUCGUCUGGUAUAUUUUUUAUUCGCUUAGGUUGUUGGCUUAAUGACUCUAAUGAC